UAACCUACCCUGAAGUGAGGGAUACCGGCGAGAAAUUGUCGACAAUCCCGCAUAGGGUGCGCUCUCUUGAGGGAGAGAGCACCAAAGUUUUUUUUCGCGAGAAGAGGAGCGCCUUGGGAUGGGCCCGCGGCCGAUUAGCUAGUUGGUGGGGUAAGAGCCUACCAAGGCUGCGAUCGGUAGCUGGUCUGAGAGGACGAUCAGCCACACUGGGAUUGAGAACGGCCCAG
rnacentral:rRNA from 1 species